rnacentral:rRNA from 1 species
AUGGGCGAAAGCCUGGCAGAGCAAUACCGCGUGAGGGAAAUAGAAAGCCCAUAGGGUUGUAAACCUCUUUUGUUAAGGAAGAAGUUCUGACGUUACUUAACGAAUAAGCAUCGGCUAACUCCGUGCCAGCAGCCGCGGUAAUACGGAGGAUGCAAGUGUUAUCCGGAAUCAUUGGGCGUAAAGCGUCUGUAGGUGGUUUACUAAGUCUAUUGUUAAAGCUUGAAGCUCAACUUCAAAAAUGUACUAGAAACUAGUAAACUUGAGAAUAGUAGGGGUAAAGGGAACUUCCAGUGGAGCGGUGAAAUGCGUAGAUAUUGGAAGGACCACCGAAGGCGAAGGCACUUUACUGGGCUAUUUCUGACACUAAGAGACGAAAGCUAGGGGAGCAAAUGGGAUUAGAUACCCCAGUAGUCCUAGCCGUAAACGAUGGAUACUAGAUGUUGUGUGUUUCGAUCCAUGCAGUGUCGAAGCUAACGCGUUAAGUAUCCCGCGUGGUUUAA